rnacentral:rRNA from 1 species
UGAGGAAUAUUGGUCAAUGGGCGGGAGCCUGAACCAGCCAAGCCGCGUGACGGAAGAAGGCGCUAAGCGUCGUAAACGUCUUUUGCCGGGGAACAAAGGCGCGGACGCGUCCGCGUGUGAGUGUACCCGGAGAAAAAGCAUCGGCUAACUCCGUGCCAGCAGCCGCGGUAAUACGGAGGAUGCGAGCGUUAUCCGGAUUUAUUGGGUUUAAAGGGUGCGUAGGCGGCCCGUUAAGUCAGCGGUAAAAGCCCGGGGCUCAACCCUGGCGAGCCGUUGAAACUGGGGGGCUAGAGACGGCGAGAAGUACGCGGAAUGCGCGGUGUAGCGGUGAAAUGCAUAGAUAUCGCGCAGAACUCCGAUUGCGAAGGCAGCGUACCGGCGCCGGACUGACGCUGAGGCACGAAAGCGUGGGUAUCGAACAGGAUUAGAUACC